UCUUCUUAACUAUGUAAUCCCAGAGGUGCUACCGCUAUUGCUGAUGGGCUUGGUCUUGGACAGCAGCAGGUCCGUCUUGGAGCUGGCUGGCAUUGGCUUUAUGGGCCACGGGGGAAGCUAUUAGUAGCGUCUCUUAGGAGUGACUCUCCCGCUACCAAAACCUGGCUACACAAACCCAAUACAGUUGGGUCAGAACAUACCACCCCUCUCAGAAAGUAGAGGGCAAAAGGCAUGACCUGGGAGUGGACUAAAGAUUUGUGUGAACUACAGAAAUACACAAUAAGGGUGACUGAAACUGUUGCAGCAUUUUGGGAUUGUUCUAAUUUUUUUGGUAAGUAACAUCCUGGAGUAGUUUCUGGUUUUCUUGUGUUUCAACCCUGUGUCUCUCAAGAAACACAGGUGACUUCCAUUUUGAAUUCAGCCAUGGUUAGUAGCAGUUUCUCUCUUUAUUUUCUACUUUUUUUUUUUUAAAUUUUUAAACUGAGUAAGGCAGUUAAGUAAGGCGAGAUGUCUUGAACAAGAUAUAUCAUCUAAUUUUUUAGUGCCCGGUGAUAGGAAAACAAAGAAAUUGUGUCAGAAAUGUCAGUAUAUGUAAAGACACAAGGGCUUGGCAAUCUGAUGUUCUCUUGUUUUCUUGCUCUUGUGGUUUAAACCCAGGACACUUGCUAUGCUAGGAAAUAAAUUUUGACUUGUCACACCUUUCACAGAUGGCUUAACACCCUGUAAUGUUCAGUCUUUGAAAAGCCUGGUAAAUAAUUCUUUUAUAAAGCAUGCAGGGGUUUAAACAAGAUUUUUGGAAUAAUUCGUGCCACGUUAAUAGGGUGUUUUGGUUUGCUUUUUAUAUAUCUAAGAGAGAAGCAAAGAUUGAGAGAAAAAAUAUUUAAGAAAAGGCAAUAUUAGAGUGAACAGAACUUAAGAAGUUGGUACAGACAUUGGAGUGUAAGUGACCAGUUAUGGGCCAACUGGUGUGGAAGCAGAAACUCUGGUCCUGCAUUAGCUGGUUUUGGUAGCCUCUGAGGCCAUGUCAGGUGAGAGUGAUCUUCAGAAAUGAGAUCAUUCUUGCUAGUGCUGUGCUGCAGCACUGCGUGAAGGCUGUUUGACAAGGGAGCAAAUCUGUAGGACACAAUUUCUUUUUGUUGUGACAGAAGUUGGCCUGUUCACAGUCUGGCGUAGCAUCAUAAAUGCUCAGUCUGUUUGUUAGUAAAUUGUUUUCCAUGUAUCACUGAUGAGGUCCUUUUUCUGUUUGCUACCUAUUAGGAUAAUACUAUGAAUGGUGUGAUUUCACACACCAAAUUUAGAGUGAUUUCCGUUUAUCUUCUAGAGGGGAGAAAGGAUGGAGUGGAGGGUUUUGCAACCAUGACACUACUGAGAGAAAUGUGUUGAAAAGUUGGAACAUCUGUUUGUCAUGCUGUCUGCUGAUGAAGUUGUUCUGGCCAUGUAAAACAGGUAACAGCUUUAGGGUUCUGCUUCAUUUGUGGAUUCCCUUCACUCUCACAAACUGUUUCAACACUGAAGACCUCUUUGAAAUUUAAAGGCUGAAGAACUGGAAAUUUCAGUGGAAAUGAACAUCUGAUGGAAGUGAGACUCAGCCCAGAAUCCUAAUUGGCAUGAGAACAUCUUUUGAGUAGUAGUAACUCAUUCACAAAGGUAGGUUCAGUCUUUAAAUUUUAGUGAUUCUUGUCUUAGCUAUGCCUGUGAGAUUAGGUUAAAUUCCAGAAGCCUGAUCCAAAUCUUAUUAAAUUCAGUGGAGGGACUGUAGAUCCAAAAUGGCCUGAUUUGGUUUAAACUUUUUCCAUAAUGAGAAAAGCUGUAUAGUAUGUAUUGUUCCAGAGAGGAGGUUUCCUUAUUUAUUACUCAGCAAGAGAACUUGGAUUUGUAGUUGUGGAUAGCUGACAGUAAAGAGAAUUCUAACAGGAUUGUGGAUUUUGUAAUUGUAACAUACCUGUGCCUCCAUGUAAAUGUCUCCUUUAAAAAUUUCACACUGCUGUUCUCAAUUCUGUCCUGCACCUUUACAGUAUCACAUAGUAAUAGCAUCAACCACGUCAUUCUUAUUGUUGGUAAAACUUCAAAAGAGAGCCCAGAGUUCUGGUGAUGGUAAGUCUGAAAAUUAUGGGUGUGGGGAAUGUGAGUGUUGGUUUAUCACACAAGCUUACUAAAGCAAAUGAAUAACCUUGCUUCUCUGUGAUUCCCCCCUUUUUACCUCCUUCUCCAGAUAACGAUGCUCAAACUUCACAUAAACAGCUGGCAUACUGUGGAGGGCCUGAUAAGCGGAUUUCUUCAUCCAUGCUAAGUCUCUGUUAUAUCAUGUAGCCGUCCCAUUAUCUUGUGUGAAAUGCUUAUUGCAGUUUCUUCCAUUGGGUCUCCUAUAUACAUUAUCUAUAAUGCAUAAUGGAGUGUGUGUAUGAAUGAAGGACAAUAUCCCACAAAGCAUGAAAAUUACUUGUAAGUUGCAAGCAUUGGGUCUUAAUGGUAUGAUCUCAUUAGGUUAGGAAAAAAAUUCCCUAGUAUCACCCUUUAUAUUCUAGAGCUUGAUUUAUUUUUCUCUUUUUUUUUUUUUAAUCUUCCACAAGUUUAAUCAAACUAUAUUAAAAAAGAAACAGAUAAUGAUGUUGAAGCAAGUGAUAGGGUCUAAACCAUGAGUUCUUUUUGUAAAUUUGCUCAUUUAAAGGAACAUUAUCAACUUCCAGCAUGUUUUUUUGUGGGAAGCGUCAAAUUAGGAACUCUGAAGUAAUAUAAUGCUACUAGUAGUAAUAGUCCCACUUUUCCUCUUCAAGUGUUGUCUUCUGAACUUUGAAAUAUGGAGUAUGUUUCAUUUUUGAGUGCUUCAGUAUACUAUGUAGAUAUUUUGAAGUUCUGAGGUUAUUUAACAGCAUUAUUUCUGGGAGGGAAGAGGGAUUAACCUCAGGUCUUGGUGGAUGCUGGUGUUCAGUUGCAUUUGUGUAGUCUGCAAAGCUCUUAUUUUCAAUCAAACUGUAAUCAGCAGAUAGGUAUUAGAGAAGCUGUCUUGAAUUAUCUAGGCAACACGCUGUCACUGGAGGAUUGUUAUGUGUUGUACACUAUUUGAGACAUUUAUUUCAGUUAUCUAAACAUUUUUUGGCGUACACUUGUCUUUAAGGGUUUUGAAUACUGGAACUUUGUUCUUUUCUUCUGGAGAGCCAAGGUUUCUGUUUCUUUACAGUUUCUUUUCUGUUACAGUUGUCUGCAUUACCAUGUUAUAUUUGUUUUUUUUCCCCUUAACUGUCAUUCAUGCUUGCAUUUACUACUGUAAAUAAUUCCUUUCCAUCAUUGGUGCCUAUGUUUUCCUAUAUUUUUAAUUGGUUUUGUUUUGUUUUUUAGGGUCUGUCUUUAUUCAUUGUUAGGCAAGCUCUGAAUAUCUGGUCUUUGUUUAAUUUUAAAUAUCCAUGGAAUAGUCCUUCCAAGCAGAUAUUUUCCAUAACUGAUAUCCUUCAAGUUGUGCCAGUAUCUCUUUUGGGAAUGGAGUGUCUGGAACCAGAUGAAAGACUCCAGACAGAGUCGAACACAGGCUCAACUGGACUGUGUUGCCACUGUCUUUGUGGGACUUGCAGCCCUAGGACCUGGCUACGAUUAAAACCCACCAUGAUGUGACUCCAGCUGAGCUAUUGGAACAAGAAGAACCAGAAAAGACUGCUCCUGUUUUUAUUCCAAAGCAGAAUCCUUUGGUCAGACUGAUCUGCCAUUAACAGCACCUUUUAAAAAAGAAAGGGAAAACUCCCUCAAAAGUAACUGGGGCUUUUUGGUGUUGCCUCCAACAAGAAGCAAAAUCUUUUAUGUGUUGGAGACUGGGGAGAAACAGGUUCCCUUCUAGUCACAGGUCUUUUCUGGGUCUCCUCUGUUAUGCAGACAUCAACUUUACAUUGAUGUUCAUUCCAGCCAUUUCUUAAAAGCUCAGUUUUCAUUGCUUUUGAGCCUGGUGCUAGAAAUGUAUAAGAAGGAAAUAAGAGGUUUUUAUCCAUAUACCUCUUUCCCUAUUUCUCUCUCUUUUUGUGUAGAUAAAGCAUAAAUAUAUGUGUACAUAUUUGUAUAUUUAAGUGUGCACACUUACACAGAAUCCCGGUAUAUAGCUAAACACAUUAACCUAAUGUAAAAAGCUGAAAGAAAGCUUAAGAUUUGGGAACUACUUGUUUAGUUGUUAGUGGGGAAAGAUAAUUUGGAGCUCUUGAAAAGGAAGGGCUACUGUACUUGCACUAAACUGAACUGCAAACAAUGGGAAUAGGUAAAUGCAACAGCUUGGUUUUACUACUUUGCAAAAGUCUUUUUCUGUUCUGUUCCUGAGUGGUUUUAAUGACAGACUCUUUUGAGGCAUGUGAAUUAUGAACAGUAUCCAAAAUUUGAGCACAAAUCAGGAGUCAUUUGCUGUGUUUACAGACCCUCAACUUAUUUUAUAAAUAACAUGAUGGUUAUGAUUUUACCAUAAUAAAAAGGUGCUGGUUUGUCCACAUGAAAUUAUUAGUGAGCAGCACAUUUAAGAAGAUUAGAUCUGUGUAGAGUAGAGAGGUGUUUCAAAGCUGCUGUGUAAUUAGAGCUUCUGUUCAUCAGUUUGGGGUACCUUUGUUCUUAAUUGGAUGUAGGAAUGACACUUUUGAGGUGGUAAUAAGUGGGGAAGGACUGCUUGGUCCUUUCCGACCCAUUGAGAGUGUUAUAGUAAAUAUGGCAAAAAAUACGACUUCUGUUGAGAAAAGUAGAGAAUAAGUAAUUGUGCUCAGAAGCAAGCAUCUGCAGAGUAGACUCUCAGAAAGUAGUGGAUUUUGAGAGGAAACUAAAUAUCUUUUGCUUUUCCUAUUGGGGAGGUGAGAAUUGUGAAAUGGGGCUAAAAGCUGCUGCUAGCUUG